UGGGUUGUAGCUCAGUGGUAUAGCACUUGCCUAGCAUGUGUGAGGCACUGGGUUUGAUUCUCAGCACCUUAU
rnacentral:tRNA from 1 species